UAUACACCGCCCGUCACACCAUGGGAGUUGGCUUUACCUGAAGACGGUGCGCUAACCGCAAGGAGGCAGCCGGCCACGGUAGGGUCAGUGACUGGGGUG
rnacentral:rRNA from 1 species